ACACCAUUGGACCUGGCAUUGCAGAAGGCCUCUAGCCGGCCUCUUCUAGGCUUGUCAUGUUUCUGCAACACUGUGUCGAGUGCUUUUUGUGCUCUAGAAGAACACUAUUUCAUAGAUGAAACCAGGCGCAAAGCCUCACAGAAAGAAUUAUUUUGUUAAAGUGAAUAGUUGUCCCCAACUUUUUCCAUUUCCCAAGCUCAUAGUUUUAUACAUUCUUUCUUUUUUUAAGGCUUGGCUUAAAUUCUUUAUUAUUAUUAUUAUUAUUAUUAUUAUUAUUAUUAUUAUUUUGAGAUGAAGUCUCCCUCAUAUCCCCAGGCUGGAGUGCAAUGGCGCAAUCUCGGCUCACUGCUGCAACCUCCGCCUCCUGGGUUCAAGCCGUUCUCCUGUCUCAGCCUCCCAAGUAGCUGAGAUUACAGGCACCUGCCAUCACACCCGGCUAAUUUUUGUUUUUUGGGGGUUUUUUUGGGGUUUUUUUUUGUUUGUUUUUUUGAGACAGAGUCUCACUCUCUCGCCCAGGCUGGAGUGCAGUGGCCUAAUCUUGGCUCACUGCAACCUCCGCCUGCCAGGUUCAAACAAUUCUCCUGCCUCAGCCUCCCAAGUAGCUGGGACUACAGGUGAGUGCCACCAGGCCCAGCUAAUUUUUUUUUUUUUUGUAUUUUUAGUAGAGAUGGGGUUUCACCAUGCUGGCCAGGCUGGUCUCAAACUCCUGACCUCGUGAUCCGCCCGCCUCAGCCUCCCAAAGUGCUGGGAUUACAGGCGUGAGC
rnacentral:lncRNA from 1 species